UUUUUUCAGAGUUUUACGUCUAAUGACCAGGACCCAGUUGUAUCAACGCGUAAUUAUGUAAUCAUCAAUUAAACACUAAUCAUUGAUUAAAUUCUUAAUGUUUGAUUAGUUAA